AUUGAACGCUGGCGGCAUGCCUUACACAUGCAAGUCGAACGGUAACAGGUUAAGCUGACGAGUGGCGAACGGGUGAGUAAUGUAUCGGAACGUGCCCAGUCGUGGGGGAUAACUGCUCGAAAGAGCAGCUAAUACCGCAUACGACCUGAGGGGGAAAGCGGGGGAUCGCAAGACCUCGCGCGAUUGGAGCGGCCGAUAUCAGAUUAGGUAGUUGGUGAGGUAAAGGCUCACCAAGCCGACGAUCUGUAGCUGGUCUGAGAGGACGACCAGCCACACUGGGACUGAGACACGGCCCAGACUCCUACGGGAGGCAGCAGUGGGGAAUUUUGGACAAUGGGCGCAAGCCUGAUCCAGCCAUGCCGCGUGCGGGAAGAGGGCCUUCGGGUUGUAAACCGCUUUUGUCAGGGAAGAAAAGGUUCUGGCUAAUACCUGGGACUCAUGACGGUACCUGAAGAAUAAGCACCGGCUAACUACGUG
rnacentral:rRNA from 1 species